GGCAAAAGAGCCUGCUCCCUCCGGACCUGCUCUCCCCUCCCCCUCCUCCUCCUCCUCCCUCACCAGGAAAGCGACGGUGCCUCUGGGUCCUAGCUGCUCCCACUGCAGCGGCAGACCACGGAGAGCUGCCCCAGACACCUGCUGCCCUUUUCUCUCCGUGAACCUGGAGAGGAGGUUCCCCGUUGCAGUGAGCAUGAAAAACCCAGACCUGAAAGGGAGGGCGUGUUUUCACAGCACCUUCUCCUCGUCAGCCUCUUUCCAACGCUCCUGAAAACCGGCUCUGAAAAGAUCUGCUCUGUUCAGACAACGACUAACCGGGCUCCUCACCCAGAGCCCGAGGGUGAGGGAGAGGAAAACCGUGUCAUUAAGUUUGAGGGACAGGCCUUGGAGAGGCACAGAGACACAGGACCUCAGUGCGGGAUCACGAAGUCCAGACUUUCUGGUUUACAAGGGAAGCUGUUAUGGCCCAGAGAGGGCUGGUCUGAGAUGAUACAGACUCCCCAGGUCCUGAGUGAGUACCACGACACCACGAAGGGUUGUGCAUGUGCUUGAGUCUUCUAAUUUUACUUUUUGUGGCUCUCCAGUGAAUCACAAGCUCUUUGAGAUAGUAUAAGAUGGAGGUUAGGGACGUGGGCUUUGGAAUCAGACAGAUGUGAGUUCGAAACCUGACUCUACCAGCACUGGGAACAUGGAUCAUCACCCACUCCGGGCGAGCACUUAUCUCAGAGGCGUGACAGCACGUUUAACGUGGCGUCUCCUUUAUUACAAACGGAGCAGAAGACAGGAGCACAACCCGAUGGUGAUGUGUCUUAGUGCGAGGAAAAUUCCACCAGCAAGAACUUGAAUUUUGGACAAAGGGAGACUCGGGGUGUGUGUGGGAGCGGGGACAGUGAGAUUCUUAGAGGCCUCUCAGUUUCUUCCAUUCGACUCCGAGCCUUUCCCAGCAUUAGACUCACUUUUGGAACUUUAGGUCCUCAUAGAGCGACGGAUCUUAUGGGACAGUACUUCCCAUAUUUGAUUACUUAUAGUCUAUCUUGAAUUAAAAGCUUAUUGUACCAAAAUAGGGGGCUUUUGCAUGGUGCUGGUGAACAGGGGGUGCUAUCCUGUCACCAUGACAACAGUCAUUUGCAUUAGAGCUCCUCAGGCCACAGUCCAAUCACGUGGCCCGGAGGGACCCCUUUGAAGCCCUUGUAGUCUUUUCCCCGAGUGUGAUUGCUAACAUCUUCUGAACAUAAUCAUUAACCAUGUUCGUAACAGAUAAUUAGCUACCGUACUUAGCGUUUUCCAUCCCUGAGUGCUCUGUGGAAUUCCGAAUGCAAGACCUAGUCUGGUGUUACUUUACCUAACCAAGUGAAAUAAAGCAGUUUGGCUUCUUGAAACCUAGGAAAGUUUGCAUUUCACACAAAAAUAUGGUGCUGACCCCAGGGUCAAGCAUGUGUGUCUGUCACGUGCUCUGGGCCGUUCUGGGCCUCUGUCUUUGACCACCUCCCCAGGUUGCGCCGGCGAUGCUGGGGGCUCCCUUCUCCUGUAUGUGUCUCCUCUUUCCCCGCCAUGUCUGCUCACUUAGUGAACUUCCAGUGCCAGCUUGUGCUUCGGGUUCCUUGCACUCACUUGCCAGGAUACAUAGGGAUUUUUUGUUUUUCUGUUUAUAGAAGUUUUCCCUGUAGAUUUCUGUUUAUCACCUAACAUCAUUCCUUAAGACUCCCAAGGCUGUGUCGUGACCCCGGGAAGCCAGGUUUCUCUCUGGGCGCAGCCAGCCGGCCCAGGAGAGUCUCAGUGCCGGGAAAAGCCUCCUCCUCUGGGUCCCCUGACUCCGUUUGAUCUUUCAGGGCACACUCAGAUCAGGGCAGCCAGACAAAACAGAUGUUAAAAAGAGAGCGUGUGAG
rnacentral:lncRNA from 1 species